UACGUAGGGCGCGAGCGUUGUCCGGAAUUAUUGGGCGUAAAGAGCUCGUAGGCGGCCUGUUGCGUCUGCUGUGAAAUCCCGGGGCUUAACCCCGGGCGUGCAGUGGAUACGGGCAGGCUGGAGGCAGGCAGGGGAGAAUGGAAUUCCCGGUGUAGCGGUGAAAUGCGCAGAUAUCAGGAGGAACACCGGUGGCGAAGGCGGAUCUCUGGGCCAUUACUGACGCUGAGGAGCGAAAGCGUGGGGAGCGAACAGG
rnacentral:rRNA from 1 species